UCCGCGCGACCAGUGCCGCUAGGAACCUGCGAGUGUGAGCAGUGCAUUCCUGCCAGCUCUGCUCUGAGUCGCGACCAUGAGUGAUCCCAACCCCAGCACGCAGAGUAUAGCGGACUACCUGGCGCAGUUGCUCAAGGACAAGAAGCAGCUGGCUGCUUUUCCCAAUGUCUUCAUACACGUCGAGAGGCUCCUGGACGAAGAGAUCGCCAAAGUGAGGGCCAGCCUCUUCCAGAUAAAUGGCAUGAAGAAGGAGCCGCUGGUGCUGCCCGAGGCGGAGGGCCAGACCACCACGCUGACGGAGAAGAUCUACGUGCCCGUCAAAGAGCACCCGGACUUCAACUUCGUGGGCCGCAUCCUGGGUCCCCGCGGCAUGACGGCCAAGCAGCUGGAGCAAGAGACGGGCUGCAAGAUCAUGGUGCGCGGGCGCGGCUCCAUGCGCGACAAGAAGAAGGAGGAACUGAACCGCGGAAAGCCAAACUGGGAGCAUCUAAAUGACGACUUGCACGUGUUGCUAACUGUGGAAGACACAGAAAACAGGGCAACUCUCAAGAUGCAGCGCGCUGUCGAGGAAGUGAAGAAGCUGCUCGUUCCCGUGCAGGCUGAUGGUGAGGACGAGCUGAAGAAGAGGCAGUUGAUGGAGCUUGCCAUAAUCAAUGGCACAUACCGUGAUUCCAGUGCCAAGGCAGCAGCUGCUGCAGGUGAGAUCGCGGUCUUGACAGCAGCGGCAUGUGACGAGGAGUGGCGCAGACUGACAGCCGCAGCAGCUGCGGAGACGCAGCGACUCUUGUCGCCGGGGAUGCCGACCCUGACUGCACCAGGAAUUCGUGCCCCUGCCACACCACUGGGUGCACCACUCAUACUGUCACCUCGCCUGCCUGUGCCAACUACAGCUGCUUCGGCACUCCUCAAUGGCUCUGCUGGCCCACAGGCACCAUUACUGUCACCUCAUGACCCGCACGGCCUCAUCUACACGCCAUACGCAGACUAUGCCAACUACUUGGCUGCGUCGCCGCUGCUGACAGAGUACGCCACGGCUGACCACACGGCGGUGGGUCACGGUUGGGGUGUAAACCACUGGUUGCAUGCACGAUGGCCAGACCAUCGGUAGCCGUUGGUUGUUUGUGCAUUCACGGCAACAGGAAAGGGAGAAAAACCAUAUGCUGCCUCAACCUGGGACAACAGCUUUGACCAUGUUAUACUAUCAACCUGACCAGUUUUUGUAAUUGAAACAAAGCUUAAAUUUCGGAGUUUGUGUUUCAUAUUAGCUUUUGUCCUGUAGAGUGAAUUAAAUUAUUAGUGUAUUAUAGUUUACGUGUAUUUCACACAUGCACAAGGAUUUAUAUGUUUAAAAAGUGGGGAAAUGAUGCAAAAUUACUUGUUACUGUUCAUUCCCAGAACCCGUUAUUUGUUUGGCACAGUAAAGAUGCAGAUAAAAGUUGCUGCAUGACAUUUAAAUGACACUUUUGAAUAUUAUUUAGUUUCUUCCACCACUGCAAUUAAACAAUUCUUGAAGUUCGAUCUGACAGGAAAGAUAGUUUAACAUGGUCUUUUUGAUAUAAAACUAUAUUGCCUUAAUUUCUAUUGUAGACAUACUUUUAACCAGUUGACAUAGAAUACAAUACUAUGUUCAUAAUGAAUGAACUGAAGUUUAUAUACUUUUGUAAACUUAUUACAUUCGUUAGCCAUUAUGUUGCAUAUAGGCCAAGUGUAGAUGUGUGCUUAAAUUGGUAAGAGGAGUAGAAUGACUGAUGUUUGAAUGAAAUGUUAAAGGAGAAAGGGAGAGUAACAUCACCACUUUCACAUCACAUCAAAAGUGCUAAAAAUGAUGCUGUGAUAUAUUAUCCCAAGAAUUUGCAUACUUUUAAAAUGAGUAUAUUGCAGAUUAUUUGCUUGCAUACAAAAAAUAUAUUUUAAAACUUCUGCAAAUCAAACAUUCACAUACAUGCAGUCUUGCUGUAUUAAUCAUUAUUUGUAUGCUUUAAGAUUAGUACUUUGUUCUUUAUUGUCAAAGUGGUGAUUUUCUCUCCUUUUACUGAAAAAUGGUGUGUAUUUAAUAAAUAGUGUUGAUUUGUUGUUAUUCAUAUAAAACUGAAAAGGAAAUUGUGGCUUUAUCUUUUUUUAAGCAUGUUAGAGUCAUUAUAUGUGCUGCUCUGCUCUGUAUGGGUACUUUCAAGGUGUGAUAUAGUAGUUUUAUUAUUGCGAUAUUUGCAUGUGUGUGCAAGAGGAAUGGAUGUGAUUUUAGCUUCUUGAUUCAUAUUAUAGCUUUUUUGUUUGUUUAAACUUGUGUGCUAUGAGAAUAUCUUUAGUGAAGGUGACGGGCUUGCGAAGUAUUGUACUGAAAUGCAUUGAGUAUUAGCUGCUUCAUUAGUUAUAUUGGUAGUGUAUACCAGAUAGAGGUGGUGGUGAUCAUUAAUCUCCUAGCUGCUGUAAUAAAAUUGAAGUAACACACAAUAUCUUCAUACAUCUGAUAAUGAACAAUACAGUCUUUCAGUUAAAGUUUAUCGUCUCCUAAUGGUAUUACAUUCACAACUGAUAAAUGUGAGACUACAUUAAAACUGCAUAGCUUUCCACUCUUUCUAACUUUAUAGGGACCAAUUAGUGCGAGUUCCAUUUCUUAUAUCUAAUAAAUAUCUUUAACAAUAAGUAACAGGUCUAUAAUUACAGUUAACCUCCUGCAGUAAGGAACUCGCAGACUUUAUAAAUGAGUGCAUAACUUUUCUGUAAACACUCCAGAAGCUGAAUAACUCAUCUUUUCUGUAGUUCUCCAACAGUUUGGAAAAAAAAUUGACUUCUAACGCAGGAAAGUGCAUAACACUGACCAGUAUUCUCCAUAUGAUGGGUGAUAACAUUUAUAAUGACACAGCAUUACACAGGAUGCAUUCAACGUAGCAUAUACAUAUAAACUUCAUAGGAUGAAUAACUGUCAUACAUAAUUAAAGAUGUUUUAUAAUAAUUAAUAUUUCAUGACAGUUAGGUGUCUGGAAUACAGAAAUCGUGCAUAAAGUAUUCUUUAGAUGAUGUGUAGUUACUAUUGAACUAAUCUGAAAGCAAAAUGUAAUUUUAUCUACCUUGCUUCCUCCAUAAAUGAUCAGUUAAUUUGUUAUUGAGUGCUUGAACACUGUAGUGCCAUAUAAAUCUUGAUUUGUGAGGUAGCUCAUGUAUUACUUUUUUAAAUAACUGUGUUAUAACAAAAUUAAAAUGUAUUUAUUAAUAGGGCAGCAAUUUCUUUCAAGAAAGUCAGUUCCUUUGUUAUUGCCUCAGACACUGUGUAUGUAUAUGUUUGUAGCUGUGUAUAAAGUGUGACAUGGUUAUGCAGAAAUCUGUUUCGAGUAUUACAUGUAUGGAGAAAAAGGCCCAUGACAUAAAUUAAUGGAAGUUUUUAUUUAUGAGAGACUGAAUUUGGGACUUCUAAGUGGUAAUAUGGCUGUAUAUUUGUAAAGGUCCCUUUCUUAAAGUUUUGCAGUAACUUAACAGUCGCAGUACUAUGGUAGAGCUGUGUGUGUGUGUUUGUGUGUCUCACUGAAUACAGUGUUAUUCAUAUAUUUUUCCUACUUUGCAUGUGAGAAUCUGUACUUCAAGUAAUAUCUUGCACAGUAAAUAUAUCAUGCAAUACGUGAAAAAAGGUGCAUUUCCCCAGAAAAAUUACACUGACCCUUUUUUAGUGUUUUAUAUAAUUUGGUUUCAUUGUUUAUCUACUUGUCAGAUGUCUAAAUAUUUGUAUUCCAUGCAGUUUGUUGCUUCCAUGUUGUAGAAUGAAUUUCAGUACUACAUAAUCUUGACAAAUGCUUUAAAGUCCAUUUGUUUUGUGUGACCGAAUGAGCAGGUGCAGCAGCUAAACAACGGAGACAUUUGGGUCAGUUACGGGAACAUCCCUAUCAGAGGGCUGGGGCUCUAUCAUGAAAACCCACUGCCUGAUGGCAAGGCUUGGAGUGCUAACACUGGAUCCCUAGCUCCCCUCGCCUCGUGUUACGUAACAUCUCCGCACGCACGUACGUAUGGUGGAGCUAGUUGCCUGCACUCACUACUUUAGGACUAACUGUAAUCUGGGGCCUCACUCAUUUACCCACACAAAUGGAUGUAUGCAAGAUUUGUGUCAUGUCAUAUAAUUUCAUAUACUUAAAAUUUCAUUCAUGUAAAUGUUUCUCUGCUAACAUUUUAGAAAAUUGGCUGUGGAUUGUAAUGUAAGAGAGCUUUUGUGAUUAUUUGUAUCAGUUUCGUAAACAAAAGUGAACUUUGGAACUGAUCUGUUAUAUUCAAAAAUUCUGAAAAAUCUAUUUAACAUCUUAAGCUUUUUGAAUCGCAGAAUCGUUGAGUUGGUAAGUGAAUGAUGUCUCCCUGGAAUAUAAUUUUUAUCUGUUUACCCAGCUCAUUGUAAUUGUCUUAUGAUUUGUGUUAGUUGAUCAAGGCUUACUCUUAAUAAAAGAAAAAAUUAAUGUAAAAAUAUACAGGAAAAAGAAAAGAAAACAUAGAACAUGUUUCUGGCAAAACAUUUUGAUCUCUUAUUGUUCUGUCAACAACUUUUCUUAGUAUAAUUUUUGUUGCUACCUUGUAAAGCAGAUAGAUUGGAUUUCAAAUAACUUUUUUUUUCCUUACUGAUAUGUUGCUAUAAUUUUGCAGGAUUAAAUUAAAAAACCAUAGUAGAAAAUUUGGUUUUGAAUAUUCAUUUUACUCAUAUUAGGGAAAUAAAUUCAAACAUAUUAAAUGUAAUUUAGAUUUAUAAUAUAAUAUUCCUUGUCAGAAUGGUGACUCAUGUUUACAAGGUAUGACAAGAUGAUUAAGUUUACUAAUACAUAGGAUAUCAGUAUUUUUCAUUUGGAUUAUAUUUGGCAGCUUCUGAUACACUUAUUAGUAAAAGACCGUCCACAAAUUAGUGGAAUCCCAUUUGCACAGACUUGUGCAUAAAUUGGUCACAUAAUUGUGCACUGUAAGUGUUAAGUUAUACAGUUUCAUGUACUUAUAUAAGAGUCUGAUUAUUUACAUCAGUACUUUAUCAUUGCUCAGCAAUCGGAGACUAAAUGAAUGUGCGAUUUUUCUGCUGUGAAAAAAGCAAUAUAUCAAGAUAUUAAAAUAUUUCUGCAUCAUAUUAAGUGUGCUACCGUGCUGCAUGACCUCAGAAUUUGUUGCAUUGCACUUCAGAGUUUAAUAAUUAGUCUUCACUCUGCAAGCAUGCUAUGUUAGAUAAAUUUAUAAAACUUUUAAGAAUUUUUUAUAUAAAUAGGUAAUUAAUUGGGAUUCUACUAUGUUGAUAUUAAUUUUAUAGUUUAUAAACACAGUUGCAAUAUUACUGUAAUGGAUGUGAAAAAAUUCAAAAUAUUUUAUGAUGUAGUUGUUUUAAUUUACUAGAACAGGCAGUGUGCAAUUUUUGUUUCUUUUUGUUUGAAGAACGAGUAAAGUUGCAGUACAUUGUGUGCUAUUUCUAAACCAUUUGUUUUGAGUGUUCCUCAGAUUGUUUCAUUGAAAAUACUCAGUGAGAAUAAUUUAAUGACAUCCUUAAAUUUUACUUUUUCUUUUUGGCUUGGUUUUUGGUAAUCCCAUCAAUUUCUGUAAUCUCGUAAGUAUUUGACUUUUGGCACUGAAAGCUGAAGGCCAUAUUAAUGUGGAGGUGCUGUGGUCAUUUUGGUACUUGUUUCCACUCUGAACAAGUGUGAUAUGUUUCCUGUAUGUAAUAUUUCUUUUUCUCCACUUUCUUCUUCUUUGAAUAUUCUUACUGAGUAUUUUCCAUUAUACUUUGUUAUUAAUAGUAAUAUAGUUAUAUUUUCAGUAUAAAUGUAAUUUAGAAUUUAAUAUUUUCCAAUUUUAUAUUGUGCACAAGAACAACAAAGGUCUUGCAGCUUUAUUGAAACUGCUGUAAGAUUUUAUGCACUAGACAGGUCAGUCUACUUAAGAGAAUGCUAACAGAACAGUAGCCAAGAAGCAUCUCUGGUAUAUAGGUUACGAUACUUGUUUCCUUGUCUUUAUUAAUCAGUCUUUUUAUACAAUGAGUGUGCUAACGUAAAGGUGCUUGCAUGUUACGUGCACAAGUGGUGAUAAAGUGCAUUUCUUAUUUGCAGUUUCAGUGUUCGUUUAUAUUGAAGUCCACUCAGUAAACUGUGGUACUUUACCCUUCCAUUAGUAAAAGCUUGACAUUAAAUGAAAAAGAAAUAGACAGUACUUUUCACAUAAUUCAUAGACCCAAAUGAUUUCAAGAUCCCCUAAGCUGUUAUCACAUUUCACUUCAAAAGUACCAAAAAUACUGGAAGUGUUAAAUCAACAUGCACACAAUCAGGAGGAGAAAAAAAGUAAAUUUCAGUGCAUCUGAAACAUACAAAGACACACUAAUGCAAGACACAGUUGUCAAUAAUAGUGAAGGUCUAGUAAAUUGGGAAGAAAGAUGCUACUUCUUUUUUUUCCCUUCGCAACAGCCUUUAAGAAUACUACACACAAAAAUUACCUAACAAAGACGAUGUGUUUAUUACUUAUAUGUUUAAAUGACUGGAUUCUGUGGCUGAUGUCAAGCUUUCAUGGAUUGUAACACACACAGAUACUAUUAAAUCUGUGCUUCAUUUAAUAUACAGACAGUCAUUAACAGUGACUUUGAAUUAACAAAAAAUACUUCAUGAAAUGAUUGCAUCAAAUGGGAGAGCAGCCAUUGAAAAGAUUCUUAUUGGGAAACCACAACUCAUGACUGCAAACAAGGGCAUUCAGCAUAAAUACUUAUAAGUUCCUGGAUAUGUUGGUUUUGUCCAGCACAAUAAGUUGCAGUCAAAUAUUAGGCCUAGAGUUAUAUUUUGCAGUAUGUUUCCAUGUGCCAUAUAUUUGAUGAAUACACAUUGUCCUACUUUAUUGAUAUUUUACUUAAUGUUCUGUCUCAUAAAGAGCAUUUCAGAAAUUAUAAUUUAGAGGGAAUGACAUGAACAUACUAAGGUACUUAAGAAAAGGGUUUAAACUAGAUCUGUUCAUGUUUACAAAAAUUUAUACAUGAUUAUAUGAAUAAAUUUUGUUAUCUGUAAAAUAUGUGUUUGUAAUAAAAGAGAUUAAUCCACAAGGAA
rnacentral:misc_RNA from 1 species